UACGUAGGGUGCGAGCGUUAAUCGGAAUUACUGGGCGUAAAGCGUGCGCAGGCGGUUCGUUGUGUCGGUGGUGAAAUCCCCGGGCUUAACCUGGGAAUGGCCAUGGAAACUGGCGAACUGGAGUGUGGCAGAGGGGGGUGGAAUUCCGCGUGUAGCAGUGAAAUGCGUAGAGAUGCGGAGGAACACCAAUUGCGAAGGCAGCUCGCUGGGACGUAACUGACGCUGAGACGCGAAAGCGUGGGGAGCAAACAGG
rnacentral:rRNA from 1 species